rnacentral:rRNA from 1 species
ACGGAGGGUGCAAGCGUUGUUCGGAAUUACUGGGGGAAAGGGGUGGGAGGGCGGUUGAUAAGUCAGAAGGGAAAGCCCCCGGCUUAACUCUGGAAGUGCAUUUGAAACUGUCAGACUUGAGUAUCAGAGGGGAGAGUGGAAUUCCCGGUGUAGAGGUGAAAUGCGUAGAUAUGGGGAGGAAUACCGGUGGCGAAGGCAACUUUCUGGCUGAAUACUGACGCUGAGGCGCGAAAGCGUGGGGAGCAAACAG